CUUCAAUGAAUCAUUAGCUGGAUAGUAAAAUGAUUCGCGAUUCAGCCUGAAUCGUUUAGACGAUUCAUACACGCACUUAAUUACUUGAAGCGGUAAAACUAUAACGAGAUACGAAUACAAAGUACAAAAACACUAGAUAAAGUGGAAAUAUUUACCUAUCCAUUAAAAAAAAAGCCCGAAAAGUGUUCUACCGUUUGCCAGUGAUGGAGAAGAUCAUGAUUAAGAGCAACACCUGCAGCUUGUGAACGACUCGGGUACGUUGAAGAAUCCACAUCGUCGUCUGUCAUCUCUUUUCCAUUCUCAGAGGGGUUUCCUGCACCUGCUUCCUUCCUUUGUGAUGCUGAUCAGCUAACACAAGAGCUUGAGGUGGAAGCCAGCUCUUUAUGGAGUCCACACAGC
rnacentral:lncRNA from 1 species